rnacentral:ncRNA from 1 species
UUUAUGGAGAGUUUGAUCCUGGCUCAGGAUGAACGCUGGCGGCGUGCCUAAUACAUGCAAGUCGAGCGAACAGAUAAGGAGCUUGCUCCUUUGACGUUAGCGGCGGACGGGUGAGUAACACGUGGGUAACCUACCUAUAAGACUGGAAUAACUUCGGGAAACCGA